CGGGGGUCUCGUUCACCUCCAGCAGCAGCUCCUCGGAUACCAACUUGCUGCCGCUUUCAUAGGCCACCUUGCCCGGCUUCACCUCCCCCAGAUGUAGAACUCUCAGCUGUUCUCCAGCAUCAUGUCUGCCUGAACAUUGCCAUGCUUCCUGCCAUGACAAUACUGGACUAAACCUCUGAAACUCUCCUCACUUCUCCCUCCUCAAGAGUACCCUGGGAAAAAAGAAGGAGCUGGUCUCCCUCACCAAGGUCAAAUGCAAGUCUAUUACCCAAGCGUGAAGACCAGUUGACUACCUUGAAGAAGAUGGUGGUUUUAAAGUAGUCUUUCCACAAUACCCCCAUGCAUUGCAGCCCCAGCUGCAGGUCAGCAGGCAAGACUCCUGCAAGCAGGCCUAACUACCACCACCCGACAUGGGACCCUGUAAUGUACAAGUCACACUCUGUCCCCCAAAACCUGCCCAUCCCCCAACAACACAACUGUUCCUUGAGACACAGACUCUGCUAGCUCUGUAUUGGACCAAGAGGCCAUGUGGGACAUAAGAAAACUUAAAACUACACCAUCCUCCCUGAGGCCCAAGCAGCACCCUGAGACACAAACACUGCCAGUGUCAAUUAGACCAAGAAUGGCUCCCUGAGACACAGACAACAUUUGCACCUGUUGGAGGAAAAGAUGGGUAGACAUCAGUGCAAGAAUACAUUCAAUGACACAAAGAUCAAUAUGACACCACAAGAACCUGGCAGCUCUACUACAGUAAGACCAGAACAUCUCAACAUAGAAGAAAACGAAGUGCUGCGGGAUGUUCUGUAUAUCAAAUAUGUUGCUAAUUAGUCAAUAAAUAAAACACUGAUUGGCCAUUGGCUAGGCAGGAAGUAUAGGCAGGACAGGAGGAGAAUAAAGCUGGGAAGUGGAAGGCUGAGUCAGAGACACUGCCAGCCGCCACGAUGACAAACAGCAUGUGAAGAUGCCGGUAAGCCACGAGCCACGUGGCAAGGUAUAGAUUAAUGAAAAUGGAUUAAUUUAAGCUGUAAGAA